rnacentral:tRNA from 1 species
GCCCAGGUGGUGAAAUUGGUAGACACACCAUCUUGAGGGGGUGGCGCCGCGAGGCAUGCGAGUUCGAGUCUCGCCCUGGGCA